rnacentral:snRNA from 1 species
AUACUUACCUGGACGGGGUCGACGGUUGAUCCUAGGCUAGUGGUCCACAUUGCAUUUGGUGGAUGCGUUGGCUUACCAUCUUCCCAAGUGGGAGAGUGGACGUCAUAAUUUGUGGUAGAGGGGGUACGCGUCCGCGUGGCCCCUGC